rnacentral:rRNA from 1 species
GAGUUUGAUCGUGGCUCAGAUUGAACGCUGGCGGCAUGCCUUACACAUGCAAGUCGAACGGUAACCAGGGUUAAGCUGACGAGUGGCGAACGGGUGAGUAAUAUAUCGGAACGUGCCCAGUCGUGGGGGAUAACUGCUCGAAAGAGCAGCUAAUACCGCAUACGGACCUGAGGGUGAAAGCGGGGGAUCGCAAGACCUCGCGCGAUUGGAGCGGCCGAUAUCAGAUUAGGUAGUUGGUGGGUAAAGGCCCACCAAGCCAACGGAUCUGUAGCUGGUCUGAGAGGACGACCAGCCACACUGGGA